rnacentral:rRNA from 1 species
UACGAGGGGGGCAAGCGUUGUUCGGAAUUAUUGGGCGUAAAGGGAGUGUAGGCGGUUUGGUUAGUCUUGUGUGAAAUCUUCGGGCUCAACCCGAAGCCUGCACGAGAAACUGCCGGGCUUGAGUAUGGGAGAGGUGAGUGGAAUUCCUGGUGUAGCGGUGAAAUGCGUAGAUAUCAGGAGGAACACCUGUGGCGAAAGCGGCUCACUGGACCAUAACUGACGCUGAGACUCGAAAGCUAGGGGAGCAAACAGGAUUAGAUACCCUGGUAGUCCUAGCCCUAAACGAUGACUGCUUGAUGUGGCGGGUACCCAAUCCUGCCGUGUCGAAGCUAACGCGUUAAGCAGUCCGCCUGGGGAGUACGGUCGCAAGGCUGAAACUCAGAGGAAUUGACGGGGGCCCGCACAAGCGGUGGAGCAUGUGGUUUAAUUCGACGCAACGCGAAGAACCUUACCUGGGCUCGAAAUGUACAGGAAUCCGGUGGAAACAUCGGCGUCCCGCAAGGGACCUGUAUAUAGGUGCUGCAUGGCUGUCGUCAGCUCGUGUCGUGAGAUGUUGGGUUAAGUCCCGCAACGAGCGCAACCCUUACCCCCAGUUGCCAUCAUUUAGUUGGGCACUCUGGUGGAACCGCCUCGGAUAACGGGGAGGAAGGUGGGGAUGACGUCAAGUCCUCAUGGUCUUUAUGUCCAGGGCUACACACGUGCUACAAUGGCCGGUACAAACCGCUGCAAACCCGCGAGGGGGAGCUAAUCGGAAAAAGCCGGCCUCAGUUCGGAUCGCAGUCUGCAACUCGACUGCGUGAAGCUGGAAUCGCUAGUAAUCGCGGAUCAGAACGCCGCGGUGAAUACGUUCCCGGGCCU